GAUGAACGCUGGCGGCGUGCCUAAUACAUGCAAGUCGAGCGAAUGGAUUAAGAGCUUGCUCUUAUGAAGUUAGCGGCGGACGGGUGAGUAACACGUGGGUAACCUGCCCAUAAGACUGGGAUAACUCCGGGAAACCGGGGCUAAUACCGGAUAACAUUUUGAACCGCAUGGUUCGAAAUUGAAAGGCGGCUUCGGCUGUCACUUAUGGCUGGACCCGCGUCGCAUUAGCUAGUUGGUGAGGUAACGGCUCACCAAGGCAACGAUGCGUAGCCGACCUGAGAGGGUGAUCGGCCACACUGGGACUGAGACACGGCCCAGACUCCUACGGGAGGCAGCAGUAGGGAAUCUUCCGCAAUGGACGAAAGUCUGACGGAGCAACGCCGCGUGAGUGAAGAAGGUUUUCGGAUCGUAAAACUCUGUUGUCAGGGAAGAACAAGUACGGGAGUAACUGCCCGUACCUUGACGGUACCUGGCCAGAAAGCCACGGCUAACUACGUGCCAGCCGCCGCAGUAA
rnacentral:rRNA from 1 species